GACGAACGCUGGCGGCGUGCCUAAUACAUGCAAGUAGAACGCUGAAGGAGGAGCUUGCUCUUCUGGAUGAGUUGCGAACGGGUGAGUAACGCGUAGGUAACCUGCCUGGUAGCGGGGGAUAACUAUUGGAAACGAUAGCUAAUACCGCAUAACAGUAGAUGUUGCAUGACAUUUGCUUAAAAGGUGCAAUUGCACCACUACCAGAUGGACCUGCGUUGUAUUAGCUAGUUGGUGGGGUAACGGCUCACCAAGGCGACGAUACAUAGCCGACCUGAGAGGGUGAUCGGCCACACUGGGACUGAGACACGGCCCAGACUCCUACGGGAGGCAGCAGUAGGGAAUCUUCGGCAAUGGACGGAAGUCUGACCGAGCAACGCCGCGUGAGUGAAGAAGGUUUUCGGAUCGUAAAGCUCUGUUGUAAGAGAAGAACGAGUGUGAGAGUGGAAAGUUCACACUGUGACGGUAUCUUAUCAGAAAGGGACGGCUAACUACGUG
rnacentral:rRNA from 1 species